AUUUAUAUUUACCGUUGUUUCUAUACGGUCUAAUUCCGAAAGGGAAAGUGAGGCUGUGUAGCUUUGCGUUGCUUUUGCGCACAGUUGCAUCCUCUUGUUUCUGAAUCUUUGUAAGAUGUCGUUACGGGCGUAAAUGACAUGAGAACUGUCAAUUCCUAUAUCUACAAAUCCGAACCGCAAAUGUCAAAUCGACAAAAGUAAACAGUGAUCGUUUUUGUACUCCUAUUUCGUCUAAUCGGAUCAGUAGCUUUAAUGUGAAUUAUUUGAACUGACUAUUCUAUUAAAGAAACAUGUCAGACGAAGAAGAUACAGCAAUAUUAUUAAACAGUGCAAACAAAACUGUUGAAACAUCUAUAAGUAAAGUACCAAAUGAAAAUUAUCAAUGUCUGCCCACAAAGAAUCUGAGAAAACCGCUUCCAAAACAGACCGACAAUUUGACACCGUUAACAUCAGGCAAUCAAAAUGUGUUCGUUUCUACGGUUGCAAUUUUGGCAGGUAUUGCCUUUGGAUGUGAUAUGGGCAUAGCAAAACCUAUAGCCCCUUUGAUCAAACACGAAUUCAACUUGAAUUGCUUUGAGAAAGAUUUUGUAAUAAGUAUUUGGUUCAGUGGAGCUCUUAUGGGUGGUUUAACUGGUGGUUUUUUAAUCGAUUCCUUUGGUCGACGAUGGACUAUGAUAUCUAUGUUGAUCUUCCUCACUUUUGGUGCAACAUUAUCAGCAUUGGCAAAUCAUUAUAUUUUGCUACUUAUUGCACGGACCAUUUGCGGAUAUUCAGGAUCUGUUUCAGCUGUAGCUCACUGCAUAUACAUGGCAGAAGUAUCUGAUUCUAAUAAGCGUGGAUAUAACAUAAUGUUAUAUCAACUGGGUAUAGCUACCGGAUUUUUAAUUUCCGUCAUUGCUGCUGCCGUUAAAAACAUAGAUUACCAAUGGCGAUUUUCCAUCGGUAUAACGGCCGUUCCCGCCCUGGCCGCGUGCAUCAUCACCAUCAUAUUUCUCCAACGAUCUCCACCCUUCUUGCUAUACAAAAGAAUGGCGAACGUUUCGAAAACAUCAUCCAAGAGUGCUUGGAACACGGUUUUCACGACUCUGACAAUUAUGGCUUUCUUGUUGAUAUUGCAACAAAGUACCGGUAAACGACAAGUGUUAUAUUACGCCCCAAGAUUGUUCGCACUGUUAGGCAUUUGUUCCAACAUUGCAGAAGUUACGGCUUUAAUAUCUCUUGGCAUAGUCAAGGUAUUCAGUACGAUGUUGUGUCUGGUCAUCAUAGAAAGAUGCGGACGUCGAACAGCUUUGAUUACGUCUGCAACUAUUUGCAUGACAACGAUAUCAUUGUUAUCCUUACUCGCCACGAUAGAUAGAGGCGACGAUAAUUUAGAUAUUGUAAAUACUCAUUGCAAGAAUCACCAUAGCGAGGACGUUAAAAUCCAAAAUGUUUUACCUACUGGAUCUCCACCACCGUUUCCUUUACUGCCAACUCCAUUAGCGGUUAUUGCUCCCAGUCCAGAGACAUGGACACAAAUUAAAGCAUCCUGCGAAACACAGAAUAUUAUUGUAUCCGAAGGUUUGACCGGUGGUUUGCGUAUUUUAGCGGUGAUAACGCUGCUCGUUUAUGAAGCAGCAUACGCGUUAGGACUUGGUCCAGUGCCUCUAUUGAAUCUCACAGAAGUUUUCCCUGCAGCGGUUCGAGGAAGGUGUAUUAGUUUCAUUUCCAUCGUGAUAUGGAUAACGUACAUUAUUGCUACAGAGUCAGUUAGCGCGAUGGCCAAAUCGUUGACGUUAGCUGGAUCGUAUCUGUUUUAUAGCUUUAUGUGCCUCAUCACUAUAGUUUACGUUUUUCUACUUAUCCCAGAAACGAAAAGCAAGACUCUUCAUCAAGUUGCUCAAGGAUUACGCAAAAAUUCCCUCGGAACGCGUAUAUGCAAUAACUUGCGUAGCUUGCCACUUAUUUGUCACAUCCAGUGGAUAAAGAAGUAUGACGGCAACGGGGCGGAUCAAAGGAAGUAAAACUAUGGAGCUCUUCAAUUUCAGUUUUUUCUUAUAUUAUGGCAAAAGUAUUAUGAUUCUGUUAUUAAAGGCUCUAUGUAUAUGAGGAAAAUUUAUAAAUACAAGAACUGUAACACGUUUGUAAUUGUUAAGAACAAAGUGCUAAUAGAAUGAACAUGUUCUCAGGAUUACAAAGAACAUGGGAUAUCAUGGUGUCCUAUUUAUAAGGCAGCAAGUUCUACUUGGAUGAAACAUUUUGCAACACUUGGAGGUGUAUUAACAG
rnacentral:misc_RNA from 1 species